AAGAAGGCCAAGGGGGAAGAAAGUACCCUCCCAAGCCCCCACCUUCAUCAAUACACAGGAGGCCAAAUAGAUGGUCAAUCCUUUGAGAAAAGGCCCAAGAUCAUCUGCAUUGGACAGGACAUCCAGCCCAAAAGAGAUCUCACAUGCUUCCUCAGGUAGCCCUGCUACAGGGCCUGCUACAGGCUGCAGUGGCAAAGAGCCAUCCUCUAGAAGUGGCUACAGGGCCUGCUACAGGCUGCAACAGCAAAGAGCCAUCCUCUAGAAGUGGCUCAAAGCACUCCCUGAUAUUAACCAGUUCAUCUAGGCCCAGGAAGGCAAACAGCUACUAGGCUGCUUAAGCUUGCCCACAAGUAUAGGCCACCUUGGUGGAGAAAAAGAAGACUCAGCUGAUGGUGAUUGCCCAUGAUGUAGAUUCCUCUGAGCUGGUUGUUUUCCUGCCUUCCCUGUGUGGAAAGAUAGGGGUGCCCUACUGCAUCAUCAAGGGAAAGGCCAUCCUGGGGCACCUGGCCCACAGGAAGACAUGCACCAAUGUUGCCUUCACACAGGUUAACUUGGAAGACAAGGGUGCUCUGGCUAAGCUGGUGGAAGCUAUUAGGACCAAUUAUAAUGAUAGAUAUGAUGAGAUCUGUCGCCCUUGGGGAAGCAAUGUCCUGGGUCCGAAGUCUGUAGCUGGCAUGGACAAGAAGGAAACAGCAAAGGCUAAAAUUUAA
rnacentral:lncRNA from 1 species